rnacentral:rRNA from 1 species
UACGUAGGGGGGCUAGCGUUGUCCGGAAUCAUUGGGCGUAAAGCGCGUGUAGGCGGUCCGGUAAGUCCGCUGUGAAAGUCGGGGGGCUCAACCCUCGGAUGCCGGUGGAUACUGUCGGGCUUGAGUACGGAAGAGGCGAGUGGAAUUCCUGGUGUAGCGGUGAAAUGCGCAGAUAUCAGGAAGAACACCAACGGCGAAGGCAGCUCGCUAGGACGGUACUGACGCUGAGACGCGAAAGCGUGGGGAGCGAACAGG